CCCUGGUUACCUCAGUUGGUAGAGCGCUCCACCUGUAAUGAAGAGGUCCCGGGUUCGAUACCCCGGACCCAGGC
rfam:Ixodes scapularis strain Wikel colony gcontig_1108379547291, whole genome shotgun sequence.